UGAGGAAUAUUGGUCAAUGGUCGAGAGCCUGAACCAGCCAAGAAGCGUGCAGGAUGACGGCCCUAUGGGUUGUAAACUGCUUUUAUGUGGGGAUAAAGUGCGUGACGUGUCAUGCAUUGCAGGUACCACAUGAAUAAGGACCGGCUAAUUCCGUGCCAGCAGCCGCGGUAAUACGGAAGGUCCGGGCGUUAUCCGGAUUUAUUGGGGUUAAAGGGAGCGUAGGCUGUCUAUUAAGCGUGUUGUGAAAUUUACCGGCUCAACCGGUGGCUUGCCGCGCGAACUGGUCUAGUUGAGUAUGCAGGAAGUAGGCGGAAUUCGUGGUGUAGCGGGGAAGUGCUUAGAUAUCAUGACGAACUCCGAUUGCGGAGGCAGCUUACUGUAGUAUAACUGACGCUGAUGCUCGAAAGUGCGGGUAUCAAACAGG
rnacentral:rRNA from 1 species